rnacentral:rRNA from 1 species
UACAGAGGUCCCGAGCGUUGUUCGGAUUCACUGGGCGUAAAGAGUGCGUAAACGGUCGGGUAAGUCUGACGUGAAAUCUUCAAGCUUAACUUGGAAACUGCGUCGGAUACUAUUCGGCUGGAGGAAUGGAGGGGAGACUGGAAUACUUGGUGUAGCAGUGAAAUGCGUAGAUAUCAAGUGGAACACCAGUGGCGAAGGCGAGUCUCUGGACAUUUCCUGACGCUGAGGCACGAAAGCCAGGGGAGCAAACGGG